CUACGGGCGGCACCAGUGGGGAAUAUUGCACAAUGGGCGCAAGCCUGAUGCAGCCAUGCCGCGUGUAUGAAGAAGGCCUUCGGGUUGUAAAGUACUUUCAGCGGGGAGGAAGGGAGUAAAGUUAAUACCUUUGCUCAUUGACGUUACCCGCAGAAGAAGCACCGGCUAACUCCGUGCCAGCAGCCGCGGUAAUACGGAGGGUGCAAGCGUUAAUCGGAAUUACUGGGCGUAAAGCGCACGCAGGCGGUUUGUUAAGUCAGAUGUGAAAUCCCCGGGCUCAACCUGGGAACUGCAUCUGAUACUGGCAAGCUUGAGUCUCGUAGAGGGGGGUAGAAUUCCAGGUGUAGCGGUGAAAUGCGUAGAGAUCUGGAGGAAUACCGGUGGCGAAGGCGGCCCCCUGGACGAAGACUGACGCUCAGGUGCGAAAGCGUGGGGAGCAAACAGGAUUAGAUACCCCUGUAGUC
rnacentral:rRNA from 1 species